CUAUAAAGAUCUGACUCAAGUGUGAGGAUCCAAUUUAAAACAACCUUCUUGCUUGGAUCAGAGUUGAGAAAGAGGGGGAGGGUCUCCUGGAGUACACAUUCAAUACACAUCCCUGUUGUCCAAUUUAUGAAGCUACACCCAGAAGUGUCACUGAAAUGACUGUCCAAAUAUGAGGUACAAUAAUAAUGAAUGAAAAAGAAGGGAGAGAAUGAACUUGAAAGAGAC
rnacentral:lncRNA from 1 species